AUGAUGGGGAGGCUGGUAUGCAUGGGUGACUGCUGGUCUUCCAUAAGCAACCAUGCUUGGACUUCAUGACUCUCUUAUCAUCAUCAUCAUCGUUUAGCGUCCGUUUUCCAUGCUAGCAUGGUUUAUAUCCAAAAUAUUUACACCUUGUCACUUUCUUCUUUAAGGAGAUAUAAUCUGGACAAGAGCAACAAUGUGAGGUCGAAUCACAGCCAGCUGUUUUUUGGUUUGUUGAUCCUCUUCAGGUGUACCAAUUUAAUUAUGGAACGUACUCACCUGGAAGUAAUUAUCAGUAUGGUUUUGAGUUGGGUAGCCAGUGCAAAUAACACAGUUAUCUCACAUAGCAAUUUUAAUUGAAAUGGGCCAUUAUUCUUCAAGUGUAAUAUUCCAUUUCUGUCCCUCAGCUUCAGGAUAUCUGCCCAUAGCUGGUCACUAGUGUCCCUUCCCUCAGCCAAUGUGAUGAGAGUCCUUUAACAAAUUGAUCUACGUGAGAACUCGAAUUUAAAUAGCUGACGUCAGUACACAUUGAAAUUAAUAUUACAGUUACUAAUUAUGGUAUUAGUAAUAUUCCCAUGUAGUUUCCGUAUACUCUAAGUUCUUCAAUUAUAUCACUUAGGUUGAUGAGAAAGGGAUGACCUCGCUUUGCAAAUACCAUAAGGGCAAAGAAAGUGUGCCUAAAGCCAGCUGGAGACGAUGUUCUCCUGGGGCUACAAGCUACAGUAACACCCACCCUUAGUGGUUAGCCAUAUUGAGAUGGCUAGUAUACUUUACAUCUUCAGAAUCUCUUUUAGAUAAGUUUUUUCACCAUCUUGUUUAAUGAGAGAUAAAAAUCAUUUAUUUAUUAUUAUUAUUUAUAUUUACCUCUGCAAUUUUUGAGAGGUUAUUCUAUCUUGUGUAUUGUUUACAUAUGAUCUUACAUUGUCUGUUUAUUUUCGGAUACGGGUCAUAUUCCAUGUACUUAGAGAUCAUGAAAUGCUGUGUUCUUUUCAUUUUUGCUAUUCUCCUUUGCAUUACAGUUAGUUUUGUUGCAGUGAUAUCAUUGCAUGUAAUAUCUCAUGCACAUUCCUGAUAUCAUGUAAUAUCUCAUACACAUUCCUGACAUGCUGAUAUCAUUGCAUGUAAUAUCUCAUGCACAUUCCUAAUGUUAUGUGAUUACUAACUCAUGGUAGCAAAAAACCUUAUUUCAGUCAGUUUAAGUGGGAACUGUUUCAAAACUCUUCAUUCCAUAGUAAAAUCCAGCAAUAAUAAUAAUUAUAUUCUUGUCUAAGUUGGUUGACAUCAUCAUCCUCUAACAUCAGUUUUCCAUGCUCUCAUGGGUUGGACUUGAUGUUGAUAAUGAUGAAAAAGAUGUGGUGGGUUUUCUAUGGCUGGAUGCUCUUCCUGUCGCCAACCCCUCACCUGUUUCUAAAUGAGGUUGCGUUUUCCCUCCUCUGUGUUAGGAGGCACAAACACUUUCAGACACAUGUAUACACAUGAGGGGAACUUUUGUAAACCAAACUCAAUCACAAGGGUUCAUUCAGCCCUAGGCUAUAGCAGAAGGGGCCACACAGUGGGACUGAACCUGAAACCAUGUGGUUGAAAAGUAAGCUUCCUAACCACAGCCAUGUCUGACACAAGGAAACAGAUCCAAGAAAAGAGAUAUUGGUAGUCUCUUUAUCUUCAAUGCUGAGCUACUAUUUACUUAAUCUACUUCUCCUCUCCCCAGAUUGUAAAGAAGUGGCUUAAUUAAUUAUUGUAUGAUAUUUACAUCAACACUAUUUUUUUUUUUUUUGCUAUUGACGAUGAUAAAUAUAAUUAUAGAAACAUUUUUUAAUUGUGAGAGCAAGAUGAAAGUCAUGAUAAUGAUUUCUUUUUUAUUAUUUGUUCUGAGCUUGAAGUUGAUAAGUAAAUUGUUAUCCUAAAUUGUUUUUUACUGUGGCAAAGUAUAUAUUUUUAGCUUCAUAGUAAUUGUCCAAAACAUUUCUAAAGAACAUGUUUUGGAAUUGAUCUAACUGUACAUCAGAGCAAGCCAUGUUGACUACCUCAUGCCAGAACAAGAGUCAGAAAGCAAUGCACAUUAUCAUCAUCAUCAGCUUCAUCAUUUGGUUCUGCUCUUCU